rnacentral:rRNA from 1 species
UAGGGAAUCUUCGGCAAUGGGGGCAACCCUGACCGAGCAACGCCGCGUGAGUGAAGAAGGUUUUCGGAUCGUAAAGCUCUGUUGUAAGUCAAGAACGGGUGUGAGAGUGGAAAGUUCACACUGUGACGGUAGCUUACCAGAAAGGGACGGCUAACUACGUGCCAGCAGCCGCGGUAAUACGUAGGUCCCGAGCGUUGUCCGGAUUUAUUGGGCGUAAAGCGAGCGCAGGCGGUUUGAUAAGUCUGAAGUUAAAGGCUGUGGCUCAACCAUAGUUCGCUUUGGAAACUGUCAAACUUGAGUGCAGAAGGGGAGAGUGGAAUUCCAUGUGUAGCGGUGAAAUGCGUAGAUAUAUGGAGGAACACCGGUGGCGAAAGCGGCUCUCUGGUCUGUAACUGACGCUGAGGCUCGAAAGCGUGGGGAGCGAACAGGAUUAGAUACCCUGGUAGUCCACGCCGUAAACGAUGAGUGCUAGGUGUUGGAUCCUUUCCGGGAUUCAGUGCCGCAGCUAACGCAUUAAGCACUC